rnacentral:rRNA from 1 species
UACGGAGGGUGCGAGCGUUGUCCGGAAUCAUUGGGCGUAAAGGGCGCGUAGGUGGCGCGACAAGUCAACGGUGAAAGCUCGGCGCUCAACGCCGAGUCGGCCGUCGAUACUGUCGGGCUUGAGCACUGUAGAGGCAGAUGGAAUUCCGGGUGUAGCGGUGGAAUGCGUAGAGAUCCGGAAGAACACCGGUGGCGAAGGCGGUCUGCUGGGCAGUAGCUGACACUGAGGCGCGACAGCGUGGGGAGCAAACAGG